AGCGAACGCUGGCGGCAUGCCUAACACAUGCAAGUCGCACGGGGGGGCUUCGGCCUCCCAGUGGCGGACGGGUGAGGAACGCGUAGGGUCCUGUCGAGGUGUGGGGGAUAACCGCGGGAAACUGCGGCUAAUACCGCAUGACGCCGCGGCGUGACAGCCGGGGCCAAAGGCGCCAGCCGCCCGCGGAGGGGCCUGCGUCCGAUUAGCUGGUUGGCGGGGUAGCGGCCCAACAAGGCGUGGAUCGGUAGCUGGUAUGAGAGGCUGAUCAGCCACACCGGGACUGGGACGCGGCCCGGACUCCUACGGGAGGCAGCAGUGGGGAAUAGUGGACAAUGGGCGCAAGGCUGAUCCAGUAAUGCCGCGUGGGUGAAGAAGGUCUGCGGAUUGUAAAGCCCUUGCGGCGGGGACGAUGUUGACGGUACCCGCAGAAGAAGCCCCGGCUAACUUCGUG
rnacentral:rRNA from 1 species